rnacentral:lncRNA from 1 species
CAUUUCGGCGACAGUAAGGAGGAAAUCGGGGUGGGCGUGGAUGGAGAGGUGGGCAAGGGCAACGAGGGCGUGGGCAAGGCGGCGGAGGAGGGCGAGAGGGUGCUUGUGGGGGCGAACGGAGAUGUGGGCGAGGGUAAGGCAGUGGAGGAGGGCGAGGGCUGUGAGGCGGAGGAGGGCGAAGCAACAGUAGAGAGGGCGGAGGGUAUUUUUGGCAUAAAAAAUAUUUUAAACGGAACCCUAACGUAUAACUAACGGUAGGGGUUGAAGUAAACAUUUUUUGUUUUAUAAGAGGCAAAGUGCAGGUUUUUAAAUGACAGAGGGGAGAAAGUGAAAAAUCGGGUUUUGACAAGGGGUUUUCUGUAAUUUAGCUAAAUAAAAAUGCAAAAAAGCCUGGGUUAAUUACACCCACUUGUCUCCAACCUUUGCACUAUUUUUUAAUUUCGUCCCCAACCUUUCUUUUUUCACAAUCAAGUCCUUAGUCUCUCAAUUUAAUUACAAUUAAGUCCCAGCCGUCAAAAAGGUAUUAAAAUUAAUGAAAAAUGCGACGUCGACACCAUGUCAGCGCCAUGGAGGUGCUUUGUCAAUGCCAUGGAGGCACUGUGUCAUCAAAUUGCAAAAAAAAAAGGGUUGGGGACCAAAUUGAAAAACGGUGCAAAGGUUGGAAACCAAUAGUGUAAUUAACCCAUUAAAUUUAGAAAUUCAAAUCAAUAUUUUUAAUUUAAUAUUUAAAUUUUAAAUUUAAACUUUGAUUUUGAUUUUAAAUUUAAAUUCGAAUUCAAAUUUCAAUUUUGCAUUUAAUUUUUAAUUUUUAAUUCAAAUUCACAUUUUGAAUUCUAAAUUCUAAUUUAAUUUCAAACUUCGAUUUGAAAUUUCAACUUCAAAAUGUGAAGUUGAAUUCAAAGUUGAAAUUCAAAUUUAGAAUUCAAAUCAAAUCUUAAUUUCAAAUUUAAAAUUUGAAUUCAAAUUUAAAAUUUAAAAUCAAAAUUUUGAAUAUGAUUUUAAAUUUAAAUUCAGAUUUUAAAUUUAAAUUUUAGUUUCAAAACUUUCAUUUUAAAUGUAAAUUAAAAUAUCAAAAUCAAAAUCAAAAUUUUAAGUUUGAAUUCAAAAUUUAGAUUCAAUUUAAAAUUUGAAUUUCAAUUCAGCUUUAAAUUCAAAUUUAAAAUUUUAAUUUCUCGUUAGUUUAAAAUUUUAAUUUUAACAUUAUUUUUGAAUUUAAACUUAAAAUUUUGAAGUUUUAUUUUUAUGGACUAAAGUGAAAAACAUGCAAAGUUUAUGAACCAAAAUUAAUGUGCAAAAGAUGCCAAAUAGGUGCUAACGUGGCGAUUCUGUUAAUUUUAACAGUUUUUUUAAUGGCUGGGACGUAAUUGCAAUAAAAUUAAAAGAUUAAGGACUCAAUUGCAAAAAAAGAAAGGUUGGGGACCCAAGUAAAAAUUGGUGCAAAGGUUGGGGACCACUGGUGUAAUUAACCUAGAAAAGCCCUGAAAUAAUCCAAGAACUCACCAAAUCAACGAAAAUCCACGGUUUCGAGUGUGCAGAAACUACUUUUGGGUGUCUGAAUUAUGGUGUUCCGAAAGGUUAGCUAUCGGAAUAACUACAGUAUCAGCAGCUGGUCGACACAUUUAUAGAGUGUCGGGACGAGUCGGAGUCGUUUCGGCAUGAAAUGGAUGUGAAAACGGACUCGGAGCACCGAAUUCAGCUAAAACUGAAGUUUUAAAGUUUUAGGGUGUGUCACGCUCCGGGGUCCCUUUUGUCGGAUCGUUGGCGCUAACCAUUAAUCCAAAAAGCUCGAGCUGUUAGAAAUACGCAACCAAUUCACUUAAAGCGUACAGAAACAGCGCCCACGGGUCUCGAUUGUGACUCGGCCCACCUGGCCUCACGCCACUUCGAACAUGACUCGGCCCAACCCAGCCUCACGCCAUUUCGAACAUGACUCAGCCCACAUGGCCUCCCGCCACAGGGCAGGAUGCUGGCCUAUUUAAGCCAACACCUUUUUGAUUUAAAAAUAACGCGGAAGCGCCCAAAUUUUUUUUUUUAAAAAAAAACCUGACCCCCGGGGUAUGCCAGAUCCGCCAUAAAUACAUAGAGUCUACUAUUCACACGGACAGAGUCUCCCCUGUAUUUCCACGACGUCGCACAAGUACAAGAUACAUAAACGGAUACAACCACUACAACUAAAUAUACAAACAUUCAACAUUCAUACAUUCAUACAUCAUUCACUAACAGAUUCACAUUCAGAGUUUAUUCAGAAAUCCAUAACUAUUAGUUUAAAAUGUUUUCUAUCCGGAAACUCAUUUUGAAAUACUAAUUUAUGAAAACCACGAGAAAACCUUUUCAAAAUCGUUUCCCAUACGGAGAUCCUUUUUCUUUAAAACACGCUACCACGAGGGGUAGAAAACCAUUUUCGUUUCAAAGAAAACCGUAAGUUCUUUAAUUCAUUUACCAAAAUCACAUUUAUCCAAGUAAACAAAAGCCAUUAAACCAAUAUAUCUAAAUCAUAUCAUCAGAAAUAAAAAGGGUAGCAACUAAACAAAACAAACCGGGUCGGAAGUUCUAUCGACCGCUACGAAUGUGUCUCACAUCUCGUCUCAACCCUCACCGUCCGCAAUAC